AGUUCAUCCGGAGUCAGGAAGCAUGGAUGGCGCCCGGUGCAAAAACUGGGCGGAGCCCAGCCCCAGGUGUGGGUUCAUCUACAGAGCGAGGGACCUGGUGGGUUGAGGCGGAAGAACUCCCGGAACCACUGGGAGCGGAAGAGCCGGAAGACAUUUCGAAUAACUCCGAAUGAAGACUCUAAAGAUCCCAAAGAAGAUGGACAGGACAA
rnacentral:lncRNA from 1 species